UACAGGGGGUGCAAACGUUGCUCGGAAUUAUUGGGCGUAAAGCGCGCGUAGGCGGCUACUUAUGUCGGAUGUGAAAGCCCUUGGCUCAACUGAGGAAGUGCACCCGAAACUGAGUAGCUGGAGUACGAAAGAGGGUCGCGGAAUUCCCGGUGUAGAGGUGAAAUUCGUAGAUAUUGGGAGGAACAUCGGUGGCGAAGGCGACCAACUGGUUGGUGAUUGACGCUGAGGCGCGAAAGCGUGGGGAGCAAACAGG
rnacentral:rRNA from 1 species